AGAGUUUGAUCCUGGCUCAGAACGAACGCUGGCGGCGUGGCUAAAACAUGCAAGUCGAACGCGAACGAGACCUUCGGGUCUUUAUUAGAGUGGCGAAAGGGCGAGGAAUACUUGGGUAACGUACCCUGGGCACUGGGAUAGCUGCGGGAAACUGCAGGUAAUACCAGAUGACACCGAAGGAUCGCAGGGUCUUACGGUCAAUGGGUGGGGAUCUCUUCGGAGACCUAUCGGCCUAGGAGCGGCCCAAGUCCUAUCAGCUUGUUGGUGAGGUAACGGCUCACCAAGGCUUCGACGGGUACCGGGACUGAGAGGUUGACCCGGCGCAUUGGGACUGAGACACUGCCCAGACUCCUACGGGAGGCUGCAGUAACGAAUAUUGGACAAUGGACGAAAGUCUGAUCCAGCGACGCCGCGUGUAGGAAGAAGUCUUUCGGGAUGUAAACUACUGUCAGGGACCACCAAGCAAUCGAGGUUAAUACCCUCGUGCGUUGAGGAAUCCCAGAGGAAGUCACGGCUAACUUCGUGCCAGCAGCCGCGGUAAUACGAAGGUGGCGAGCGUCGUUCGGAAUCACUGGGCUUAAAGAGCACGUAGGCGGACUGUCAAGCGUCAUGUGAAAGCCCUCGGCUUAACCGAGGAACGGCUUGGCGAACCGGCAGUCUUGAGGCAGGUAGGGGCAACUGGAACUCAUGGUGGAGCGGUGGAAUGCGUAGAUAUCAUGAGGAACGCCGGAGGCGAAGGCGAGUUGCUGGGCCUGUCCUGACGCUGAGGUGCGAAAGCUAGGGUAGCGAACGGGAUUAGAUACCCCGGUAGUCCUAGCCCUAAACGAUGUCCACUAGGCCGGAGGCACUCUGACGUGUUUCUGGCCGAAAUGAAAACGGUAAGUGGACCGCCUGGGGAGUACGGUCGCAAGGCUAAAACUCAAAGGAAUUGACGGGGGCUCACACAAGCGGUGGAGCAUGUUGCUUAAUUCGAUCAACGCGAAGAACCUUAUCCUGGGUUUGACAUGCUUGGAUACCCAUCUGGAAACAGAGUAGGUUGCCCUUCGGGGUGAAACUUGCACAGGUGCUGCAUGGCUGUCGUCAGCUCGUGUCGUGAGAUGUUGGGUUAAGUCCCGUAACGAGCGAAACCCUUGUCGUUAGUUGCCAGCGAGUCAUGUCGGGGACUCUAACGAGACUGCCGGUGUCAAACCGGAGGAAGGUGGGGAUGACGUCAAGUCCUCAUGGCCUUUAUGCCCAGGGCUGCAAACGUGCUACAAUGGCUGGUACAAACCGAAGCAAGACCGCGAGGUGGAGCAAAUCGGAAAAAGCCAGCCCCAGUUCGGAUUGGAGUCUGCAACUCGACUCCAUGAAGCUGGAAUCGCUAGUAAUCGCGUAUCAGCGUGACGCGGUGAAUGUGUUCCUGAGCCUUGUACACACCGCCUGUCAAGUCAUGGAAGCUGGGAGCACCCGAAGUCGCCCUAAUUCAGGGGUGCCGAAGGUGAGUUCGGUAACUAGGACUAAGUCAAAACAAGGUA
rnacentral:rRNA from 1 species